rnacentral:lncRNA from 1 species
AUUAUCUUUUUAGUUAAUCUUUCCUUAGAAGUAGAGUAAUUCCAUAGAUUUUGAUAGGUUGCAUAAUUUGUACCCUAUCAAUCAUUCUUCUACCAUGCCUCCCAAGACCAAGGAGAAUGAAGAAUCCUUACUGCAACUCUUCAUAGAAAAAUUGCAAGAGAACAAAAAGCAAGAAAAUGCUAAACGUGAAUCAAUAAUGGAAGCAUUGAGAUCCAUCACUAACAAGCUAUUAGAUCUCAAAGUCCAACCCCCACCAUUGCCAGAUCCACCAAACCCUAACUCUCCCUUUAAUAUAACCACCAACUCCCCAAUACCAACACUCCUUACCCCAACAGUCACACAGUGUAACCCUUUUCCACACCAUCAUAAUCAUCACCCACACCCUUAUCCUAAUGAAUGGAGAAACCAACCAUCUGGCCAACCCCCAUCUCAGUCUCAACUCCAAAGUAAUGUGGUAGGAUUUUCGACCAACAUUAAAGCACCAUCAUAUUUUUUAUCACAAAGUAAUGACACUACAUUAGUUCAACCAAUUUUCUCUGAUCAUUUUGAAGAGAAGCGCGCGAGGCAGAAAAAAGUUC